rnacentral:tmRNA from 1 species
GGGGUUGACUGGAUUUGACGGCAAGAUGAGAUGGUACGUAAGCAUGCGGAGGCUCGUUGGCUACCUCCUAAAUCUGAGUGAACAAAAAUUAAUUGGCGAAAGAAAUUACGCUCUCGCUGCCUAAUCGAAGCAUAGUAGAUUACUGGCUUUAUUCCGUCACAAGGUGAUGGAACGAGACAUCGCUCCAAGGGUGUUGUUCCGAAUCUGAGGAUUCAGCGGUGCAGAUAAAUCGGAAAUAGUCAGGCAGAGCCUCGGCUGUCUGGUGAAAUUUAGAGGAUAAGGCAGUAGUUGGUGGUCCAGGUCUUGCUGCUGCUCGAAAAUUGAAGUCUGGAAUAAGCAUGUAGAAAGCGUAUGGUUUCCUUGUGCGGACGCGGGUUCGAUUCCCGCCAGCUCCAC